rnacentral:rRNA from 1 species
ACGUAGGUGGCAAGCGUUAUCCGGAUUUACUGGGCGUAAAGGGUCCGUAGGCGGUUUGGUAAGUUAGGCGUGAAAGGCCCGGGCUCAACCCGGGAACUGCGCUUAAGACUGCCGGGCUGUGAGUCCGGGAGAGGAUGGCGGAAUUCCCAGUGUAGAGGUGAAAUUCGUAGAUAUUGGGAAGAACACCAGUGGCGAAGGCGGCCAUCUGGCCCGGUACUGACGCUGAGGCGCGAAAGCGUGGGGAGCAAACAG